AUUUAUAUUAAUACUAUGAUUAUAUCAUAAUAGCAAAAGGUAUUACUAAAUUAAAGUUGCAAUAAGAUUUGUUUAAAAAUUGUUUGCAUUGGACUCAAUUUUGAGUAGGACAUAAAUGCCAAGCAAACCAAAGGAUAGUGAGUUAGGGUGUGUUCACUUUGAUGGAACACUUGUUCAUCUGAUUCUAAAUGAAGUAAAGAAUAAUGUUCUUCCUGAUGAAGAAAUACAAGUUCCUGAAUGGGAAUUGCCGCCCGCCGAUCAAGAUGGAGACCAUGUGGGUGAUUCAAUUAGAGAAAGAGAAGAUAAAUGGACUGAAUUGAGAACGGCUUCGGAAAUGAGACCUGGUUUUCUUCCAGCUUCACUUGUGCGUUAACAAAUAUGAUUUUUAAAUAUUGCCUUUUGUUUUUGUUUGC
rnacentral:lncRNA from 1 species